AGGAAAGACAGAGCAUGGCUGCUGGGCAGCCAGGUCAACCGGACGGCAAGGCAGGGGUUGGCCGGGGAAGCACUGCGCCGCCCCUGCAUGCCCUGCAUCCUCGGGUCCUGGGAGGGCUGCUCAGUAACUGGAAGGAAAAUGAAACUGAAAAAGAGCAAGGGUCCCGUAGGAUUGAACACAGUUGGUGAAACUUGGGCCGUCUGCCUCAAGUCCCCGCUUGGCAAAACCACUCCCUCCUGGUGGACGCCCUCACCAUGAAGAACAUCCCCCACUUCCCUGACCAGAUACAUCCAGAGGGGAGGCAAGUGGAGACUGGCUGUCUGUAGGGAGUGGAGAAAUGGCAGGUCCAGCUUGGGCUGGUGUCCUCUUCCUCAGAAAGUGCUGUGGGUGAACCCAGAGUCUCAGGGAGCAGAAGCCCCCCUCGCUGGCUUUCUUCACGCGGGGUCCUCGGCAAGCUGCUCUGCACUGCGGAGAACGUGCGCCUUGUCCUCAGAAGACGAGGAAGAGCAGGGCCUCAUGCCGGGGCAGUACGAUGUUCUCCACAGUGCGCUCCAUGGCGCGCACCUGCUCCGGGGAGGCUGUCAGGAACGCCAGGGGCCCGAUGCGCUGCUCCGCACAGGAGUGGCAGAGGUAGCCCCCCUUGUUUUCCUUCCUGUUGCUCUGUGGUGAUGGACAAGAGAGAGAGCUAAGGGGAACAACCAAAGAACAUGGAUUUUCCA
rnacentral:lncRNA from 1 species